AGUUUUAACAGAGGAACCUGAUCCUUGAGCCAAUGGCUUUUCUAUUAGAUGUUUUGAAGCCAAAUCUUCCUGAACAUAGUUUCCUUCAAACAAAGGUCCUGGAAAUCAAUCUGGUAACUUUUCCAAAUGUAGCUGACGCUAUAUUACCUAAUGGAAUGUUCAGCCAUUAUGACCGUCCUCGAAUUGCCCAACUUUGUGAAAAGGCUGGUCUUUACGUGUGAGCUCUGCAACUGCAACAUUACACAGAAUUGCCAGAUAUAAAGCGUGUCAUUGUGAACACACGCAAUUGAGCCACAGUCACUUGUGGAAUUUUUUGGCACUCUGUCACGUGAAUGGGCUUUGGAGUGUUUGAAGGACCUUUUGUUGGUCAAUCUAAGUGGAAAUCUUCAGAUAAUUGUGCAGGUUGCUAAGGAAUAUUGUGAACAGUUGGGUUUGCUAGAGAUAUGGGAAUAUAAAUUAAUGAAUAUAAUCAUUGGUUGAUAGGUUUGGGUCACCUUUUGCAAAGUCAGCAUACAUUGAUUAGUGUACAUCAUAUCAAACUAACUGCUCAAACAAACACCUAGUUUUAGUAAUUGUGCAUGACUCCUCUCCUACUAUCUUCCUCCUUUCAUCCACUCUUCCUCCUCAUCCUCUCCUCCUCCCUUCCACCUCUCUUCCUCCCUCCACUCUCUCUUUCUUCCUCCUAUUUUCUUCUCCUACACUCUUACUAAUCUCUUCAUCAACUCCUCUCCUCCUUUCUUCCACCUUUCUUCUUCCCUCCAUUCUUCCUCUCCUCUAAUCUUCCUCCUCUCUUGGUCUCUUCCUACUCCACGUUUCUGACUCCAAGAUAUACUAUUUGUAUGUUAUAUUUUUAAAUAUUAUAUUAUUCUUGGUUGGAUGUGAUUCAACUUUUAGUAUUUCUUUCUCAAUUCUUUUGGGUUUUGAAUUUUAAUUUCCAAAUCUUGAGAUUUGUUGAGGGAUGCCUUUGGGUUUAGGCAUGUAUAACCUUGAUUAGAUAGACUUAGUGGCUAGUCUUAAGCUUUGAUCCAUAGAAGGUAGGCACUCUCUGGGUCUAUAGAAGGCAUUUUGUUCUCAUCAUUUUAUUUGUAUAAAAUACUAUUUAUAGGUCAUAGCCAUUCAUUCAGGAAUAUCUUUCAUAUUGAUGCAAAGAUGAAGGGAUGAACCGAUGAAGCAAGGGUGAUUUAGGUACUUAUUAUAUUUUCAUUUUCUAUUCGAAAUUAUAAUCCUCAUUUAGACAACAAAGGUAAUUAAAUUGAUGGCAGAUUAUAGGAUUCAUUUUGUUCUAUCAAUUUUAUAUCUGACGACAUAUAUUCUAUGAUGAUGAAGGGUAGUUACACAAUUUACACUUAAGGCUUUCAACAACUAUAGGAUGACAAGCUCACUGUGGUAUCCUCCCAAAGUAAUCAACAUGUAUAUUAUGUUAGAAGCUUUAUGUCUCUUAUCUGCAUGUUGUCAUGAACUUUUCAUUUAUUUUACAUUAUAUUGUCUUGAUAAUGUGGAAGUUCGAACGUGACAUCUUUCAUUAACUCUAGGUUUUUAUAUUUCCUUGUAGAUUAAUCAACUCUUCUAUUAAUUGCAAUAUUUGUAGUUUUUUUGGAUUGUCAAAUAGUGUAGGUUUUCCAUACUGGUUGAUACGAUUUUUAGCAAUGCAGCAACAAAAUUUUUAAGGAUUGAAGACGGAAGAUACUUGCUAUAAUCAUGUAUUUUAUAAAUUUUUAUUGAUUUUUUGUUCUUUGAGACAUUUUUUUUGCAAUGCAUAUUUUGAGAAAAAGUUUUUAACUGUAAAUUACUGCUAAAAGUAAUAUUAUGAUAUUCCUUUAGCAUAAGAUUUCCUAUAUUUUUUUUAUUACUAGUUUUUUCCCUCCUCUCCUCCUACUUCAUUCCUUAUCUACCCUCCUCUUCUCGUCCUUUCAUCCACUCUUUCUACUCUCCUCCUCUCUUUCAAUCUUCCUAUUAUCCUCAUCUUUCUGCUCCUUCUCCUCCACUCUUUCUAUUCUCUUUCUUUCCUCAUCUCCUUCUCUCCUCCUCUAUUCCAGCUCUCUUCCUCCCUUCAUUCUUCCUUGUCACUUCAUCCUCUUCACUCUUCUUCCUCUCCACUCUUCUUCCUCUCAUUCUUUCCUUCCCAUCCUCUCCUCUCUCUUUCAUCUU